GAUGAAGAACGCAGUGAAAUGCGAUACGUAAUGUGAAUUGCAAAUUCAGUGAAUCAUCGAGUCUUUGAACGCACAUUGCGCCCCCUGGUAUUCCGGGGGGCAUGCCUGUCCGAGCGUCAUUGCUGCCCUCAAGCACGGCUUGUGUGUUGGGCCCCGUCCUCCGAUCCCGGGGGACGGGCCCGAAAGGCAGCGGCGGCACCGCGUCCGGUCCUCGAGCGUAUGGGGCUUUGUCACCCGCUCUGUAGGCCCGGCCGGCGCCUGCCGAUCAACCCAAAUUUUUUAUCCAGGUUGACCUCGGAUCAGGUAGGGAUACCCGCUGAACUUAAGCAUAUCAAUAAGCGGAGGA
rnacentral:misc_RNA from 1 species